AUUGAACGCUGGCGGCAUGCUUUACACAUGCAAGUCGAGCGGCAGCGCGGGGGCAACCCUGGCGGCGAGCGGCGAACGGGUGAGUAAUACAUCGGAACGUACCCCGUAGUGGGGGAUAACCCGGCGAAAGCCGGACUAAUACCGCAUAUGCUCUACGGAGGAAAGUGGGGGAUUCAGCAGGCAACUGAGGAACCUCACGCUAUGGGAGCGGCCGAUGUCCGAUUAGCUUGUUGGCGGGGUAAAGGCCCACCAAGGCGACGAUCGGUAGCUGGUCUGAGAGGAUGAUCAGCCACACU
rnacentral:rRNA from 1 species